GACGAACGCGGGCGGCGUGCUUAACACAUGCAAGUCGAACGAAAGGGCCCCUUUGGGGUUACUCGAGUGGCGAACGGGGGAGUAACACGUGAUUAACCUGCCCUUGACUUCGGGAUAACUUCAGGAAACUGGGGCUAAUACCGGAUAGGAAUCCUUGCUGCAUGGGGGGGGUUGGAAAGCUUCGGCGGUUUUGGAUGGACUCGCGGCUUAUCAGCUUGUUGGUGGGGUAGUGGCUUACCAAGGCUUUGACGGGUAGCCGGCCUGAGAGGGCGACCGGCCACAUUGGGACUGAGAUACGGCCCAGACUCCUACGGGAGGCAGCAGUGGGGAAUAUUGCACAAUGGGCGGAAGCCUGAUGCAGCAACGCCGCGUGCGGGAUGACGGCCUUCGGGUUGUAAACCGCUUUCAGCAGGGGCGAAGCUUGUGGUGACGGUACCUGCAGAAGAAGCACCGGCUAACUACGUG
rnacentral:rRNA from 1 species